rnacentral:pre_miRNA from 1 species
CCAGACUCCCGAAGUCAAGCGUGGGUGGAGCCUGUGAGACAGCCGCCAGGCGACCCAUUCUUGGUUUCAGGGGUCACUGGGGCU